rnacentral:rRNA from 1 species
GGGUUGUGAGGUUAAGCGACUAAGCGUACACGGUGGAUGCCCUGGCAGUCAGAGGCGAUGAAGGGCGUGCUAAUCUGCGAUAAGCGCCGGUAAGGUGAUAUGAACCGUUAUAACCGGCGAUACCCGAAUGGGGAAACCCAGUGUGAUUCGUCACACUAUCAUUAACUGAAUCCAUAGGUUAAUGAGGCGAACCGGGGGAACUGAAACAUCUAAGUACCCCGAGGAAAAGAAAUCAACCGAGAUUCCCCCAGUAGCGGCGAGCGAACGGGGAGGAGCCCAGAGCCUGAAUCAGCAUGUGUGUUAGUGGAAGCGUCUGGAAAGGUGCGCGAUACAGGGUGACAGCCCCGUACACAAAAGCGCAUGUGCUGUGAGCUCGAUGAGUAGGGCGGGACACGUGGUAUCCUGUCUGAAUAUGGGGGGACCAUCCUCCAAGGCUAAAUACUCCUGACUGACCGAUAGUGAACCAGUACCGUGAGGGAAAGGCGAAAAGAACCCCGGCGAGGGGAGUGAAAAAGAACCUGAAACCGUGUACGUACAAGCAGUGGGAGCACAGGUUUACCUGUGUGACUGCGUACCUUUUGUAUAAUGGGUCAGCGACUUAUAUUCUGUAGCAAGGUUAACCGUAUAGGGGAGCCGUAGGGAAACCGAGUCUUAACCGGGCGUUAAGUUGCAGGGUAUAGACCCGAAACCCGGUGAUCUAGCCAUGGGCAGGUUGAAGGUUGGGUAACACUAACUGGAGGACCGAACCGACUAAUGUUGAAAAAUUAGCGGAUGACCUGUGGCUGGGGGUGAAAGGCCAAUCAAACCGGGAGAUAGCUGGUUCUCCCCGAAAGCUAUUUAGGUAGCGCCUCGUGAAUUCAUCUCCGGGGGUAGAGCACUGUUUCGGCUAGGGGGCCAUCCCGGCUUACCAACCCGAUGCAAACUGCGAAUACCGGAGAAUGUUAUCACGGGAGACACACGGCGGGUGCUAACGUCCGUCGUGAAGAGGGAAACAACCCAGACCGCCAGCUAAGGUCCCAAAGUCAUGGUUAAGUGGGAAACGAUGUGGGAAGGCCCAGACAGCCAGGAUGUUGGCUUAGAAGCAGCCAUCAUUUAAAGAAAGCGUAAUAGCUCACUGGUCGAGUCGGCCUGCGCGGAAGAUGUAACGGGGCUAAACCAUGCACCGAAGCUGCGGCAGCGAACGUAUCACCCAAGACAACUUUACGGAGUUGACGAUUGACGGAGCGAAGCGACGUCAAAGCGUUCAUUAAAGUCGAGUUGGCUUAGGGAUACGUUCGUUGGGUAGGGGAGCGUUCUGUAAGCCUGUGAAGGUGUGUCGUGAGGCAUGCUGGAGGUAUCAGAAGUGCGAAUGCUGACAUAAGUAACGAUAAAGCGGGUGAAAAGCCCGCUCGCCGGAAGACCAAGGGUUCCUGUCCAACGUUAAUCGGGGCAGGGUGAGUCGACCCCUAAGGCGAGGCCGAAAGGCGUAGUCGAUGGGAAACGGGUUAAUAUUCCCGUACUUGGUGUUACUGCGAAGGGGGGACGGAGAAGGCUAUGUUGGCCGGGCGACGGUUGUCCCGGUUUAAGCGUGUAGGUGUGUGUUCCAGGUAAAUCCGGUUCACUUUAACACUGAGGCGUGACGACGAGGCACUACGGUGCUGAAGCAACAAAUGCCCUGCUUCCAGGAAAAGCCUCUAAGCAUCAGGUAACACGAAAUCGUACCCCAAACCGACACAGGUGGUCAGGUAGAGAAUACCAAGGCGCUUGAGAGAACUCGGGUGAAGGAACUAGGCAAAAUGGUGCCGUAACUUCGGGAGAAGGCACGCUGACACGUAGGUGAAGUGAUUUACUCAUGGAGCUGAAGUCAGUCGAAGAUACCAGCUGGCUGCAACUGUUUAUUAAAAACACAGCACUGUGCAAACACGAAAGUGGACGUAUACGGUGUGACGCCUGCCCGGUGCCGGAAGGUUAAUUGAUGGGGUCAGCGCAAGCGAAGCUCCUGAUCGAAGCCCCGGUAAACGGCGGCCGUAACUAUAACGGUCCUAAGGUAGCGAAAUUCCUUGUCGGGUAAGUUCCGACCUGCACGAAUGGCGUAAUGAUGGCGGGCUGUCUCCACCCGAGACUCAGUGAAAUUGAACUCGCUGUGAAGAUGCAGUGUACCCGCGGCAAGACGGAAAGACCCCGUGAACCUUUACUAUAGCUUGACACUGAACAUUGAGCCUUGAUGUGUAGGAUAGGUGGGAGGCUUUGAAGUGUGGACGCCAGUCUGCAUGGAGCCGACCUUGAAAUACCACCCUUUAAUGUUUGAUGUUCUAACGUGGACCCGUAAUCCGGGUUGCGGACAGUGUCUGGUGGGUAGUUUGACUGGGGCGGUCUCCUCCUAAAGAGUAACGGAGGAGCACGAAGGUUGGCUAAUCCUGGUCGGACAUCAGGAGGUUAGUGCAAUGGCAUAAGCCAGCUUGACUGCGAGCGUGACGGCGCGAGCAGGUGCGAAAGCAGGUCAUAGUGAUCCGGUGGUUCUGAAUGGAAGGGCCAUCGCUCAACGGAUAAAAGGUACUCCGGGGAUAACAGGCUGAUACCGCCCAAGAGUUCAUAUCGACGGCGGUGUUUGGCACCUCGAUGUCGGCUCAUCACAUCCUGGGGCUGAAGUAGGUCCCCAAGGGUAUGGCUGUUCGCCAUUUAAAGUGGUACGCGAGCUGGGUUUAGAACGUCGUGAGACAGUUCGGUCCCUAUCUGCCGUGGGCGCUGGAGAACUGAGGGGGGCUGCUCCUAGUACGAGAGGACCGGAGUGGACGCAUCACUGGUGUUCGGGUUGUCAUGCCAAUGGCACUGCCCGGUAGCUAAAUGCGGAAGAGAUAAGUGCUGAAAGCAUCUAAGCACGAAACUUGCCCCGAGAUGAGUUCUCCCUGAGACUUAGAGUCUCCUGAAGGAACGUUGAAGACGACGACGUUGAUAGGCCGGGUGUGUAAGCGCAGCGAUGCGUUGAGCUAACCGGUACUAAUGAACCGUGAGGCUUAACCUUACAACGCCGAAG